CCUCAAUAUUUACCGCAAUUAGAAAUGAUGUGAGAGAAGCUCCCACUUCUCUCUACUUGCUACUGCCGCCGCUACCACGCUCCAGCGCCGCCGUCCGUCGCCGCCUCCGGCGGCGCCUCUCCUCCGUCUUCCCCUCUUCUCUUCUCCAUCACCCCCUCCUCUCUCUCUCUCUCUCUCCCCCUCUAAUCUCUCCCCUUCGCGCGCGGCAGCUCGCCUUCGCGGCCUUCGAUCUCCCCCUCUCGGAUUUCGCCGCCAUCACCGCCAUGCACCGACAGGUAAGAGUUGUGAAGGCUGCGAUUUUAGAGAUGGAUUUGGGAUGGGGGCUGUUAUUGUCGUCUCCGGGCUGCCGAAGAGCCGUCGCCGGAAAUCCGGCAGAUUUGUGCUAACGAGAUAAGCUUCCUCAUUCUUUCUAGUUAUUAAGGCAGUAGGAUUCUACUUUGGUUCUAUUUACUGAAUUUGGUGAUUUGUGAGUAUAUGCCUUGCUAUUUGGAAGAUGGUGAAAUAUGUUGUUAAGCUUAUUGUGGCAGAUUCUAUUUUCUAAUUAAAUGCAUAUGCUUGUACAUAGAUGAAAGAAAAGAAAGGCUUGGUGUUUACCUUUUGAGGUGGGAACUGGGAACAAAGUGUUGUUGGAUUGUAGGGCUUGAUCCUACGAUUAUCUUAAAUAGCAUCUAUUUAUGGAGCAUGGGCUAUCCUCGUCGAUGUAUCGGCUUUCCUCGGAGCUUGAGCACGACCGUUGAGCGGCUGCCCGAACUUGCACGCCUAUCUCUUAUUGUAAAAGAUUAGGAUUUGGUUGUAUCGUAUAUUUUAAUCGGACUUCUCGUAUCAUGUACUAUUAUUUGUAUUUAUUAUUUUAAAUUAA